UACGUAGGGUGCAAGCGUUAAUCGGAAUUACUGGGCGUAAAGCGUGCGCAGGCGGUUUUGUAAGUCUGUUGUGAAAUCCCCGGGCUUAACCUGGGAAUGGCAAUGGAGACUGCAAGGCUAGAGUUUGGCAGAGGGGGGUAGAAUUCCACGUGUAGCAGUGAAAUGCGUAGAGAUGUGGAGGAACACCGAUGGCGAAGGCAGCCCCCUGGGUCAAAACUGACGCUCAUGCACGAAAGCGUGGGGGGCAAACAGG
rnacentral:rRNA from 1 species